UACGGAGGGGGCUAGCGUUGUUCGGAAUUACUGGGCGUAAAGCGCACGUAGGCGGACCAGCAAGUUAGGGGUGAAAUCCCGGGGCUCAACCCCGGAACUGCCUUUAAAACUGUUGGUCUGGAGGUCGAGGGAGGUGAGUGGAAUUCCGAGUGUAGAGGUGAAAUUCGUAGAUAUUCGGAGGAACACCAGUGGCGAAGGCGGCUCACUGGCUCGAUACUGACGCUGAGGUGCGAAAGCGUGGGGAGCAAACAGG
rnacentral:rRNA from 1 species